GGAGUACUCCCUCCGUUCGGAAUUACUUGUCUCGGAAAUGAAUGUAUCUAGAACUAAAAUACGUCUAGAUAUAUUCAUUUCCGUGACAAGUAAUUCCGAACGGAGGGAGUACCUG
rnacentral:pre_miRNA from 1 species